GAUGAACGCUGACAGAAUGCUUAACACAUGCAAGUCGAUUCGAUUUACCUUCGGGUAUUGAGGAUGGCGGACGGGUGAGUAACGCGUAAGGAACUUGCCUCUUGGUCUGGGACAACUGUUGGAAACGACAGCUAAUACCGGAUAUUAUGAGAUUCUCGCAUGGGAAACUUAUGAAAGCUAUAUGCGCCAAGAGAGAGCCUUGCGUUCCAUUAGCUAGUUGGUGGGGUAACGGCCCACCAAGGCGACGAUGGAUAGCCGGCCUGAGAGGGUGAACGGCCACAAGGGGACUGAGACACGGCCCUUACUCCUACGGGAGGCAGCAGUGGGGAAUAUUGGACAAUGGGCCACAAGCCUGAUCCAGCAAUUCUGUGUGCACGAUGAAGGUCUUCGGAUUGUAAAGUGCUUUCAGUUGGGAAGAAGAAAGUGACGGUACCAACAGAAGAAGCGACGGCUAAAUACGUGCCAGCAGCCGCGGUAAUACGUAUGUCGCAAGCGUUAUCCGGAUUUAUUGGGCGUAAAGCGCGUCUAGGCGGAAAAAUAAGUCUGAUGUUAAAAUGCGGGGCUCAACUCCGUAUUGCGUUGGAAACUGUUUUUCUAGAGUACUGGAGANGUGGGCGGAACUACAAGUGUAGAGGUGAAAUUCGUAGAUAUUUGUAGGAAUGCCGAUGGAGAANUCAGCUCACUGGNNAGAUACUGACGCUAAAGCGCGAAAGCGUGGGGAGCAAACAGGAUUANAUACCCUGG
rnacentral:rRNA from 1 species